rnacentral:rRNA from 1 species
CAAAGGAAUUGACGGGGGCCCGCACAAGCGGUGGAGCAUGUGGUUAAUUCGAAGCAACGCGAAGAACCUUACCAGGUCUUGACAUCCCGAUGCUAUUUCUAGAGAUAGAAAGUUACUUCGGUACAUCGGUGACAGGUGGUGCAUGGUUGUCGUCAGCUCGUGUCGUGAGAUGUUGGGUUAAGUCCCGCAACGAGCGCAACCCCUAUUGUUAGUUGCCAUCAUUCAGUUGGGCACUCUAGCGAGACUGCCGGUAAUAAACCGGAGGAAGGUGGGGAUGACGUCAAAUCAUCAUGCCCCUUAUGACCUGGGCUACACACGUGCUACAAUGGUUGGUACAACGAGUUGCGAGUCGGUGACGGCGAGCUAAUCUCUUAAAGCCAAUCUCAGUUCGGAUUGUAGGCUGCAACUCGCCUACAUGAAGUCGGAAUCGCUAGUAAUCGCGGAUCAGCACGCCGCGGUGAAUACGUUCCCGGGCCUU